rnacentral:rRNA from 1 species
CCUACGGGAGGCAGCAGUGAGGAAUAUUGGUCAAUGGGCGAGAGCCUGAACCAGCCAAGUCGCGUGAAGGAUGACGGCCCUACGGGUUGUAAACUUCUUUUGUCAGGGAGCAAUUGAAUCCACGAGUGGUCUUAGCGAGAGUACCUGAAGAAAAAGCAUCGCUAAACUCCGUGCCAGCAGCCGCGGUAUUACGGAGGUUGCGAGCGUUUUCCGGAUUUAUUGGGUUUAAAGGGUGCGUAGGCGGAAUAUCAAGUCAGCGGUAAAAGUUCGGGGCUCAACCCCGCCGUGCCGUUGAAACUGGUGGUCUUGAGUGGGCGAGAGGUAUGCGGAAUGCGUGGUGUAGCGGUGAAAUGCAUAGAUAUCACGCAGAACUCCGAUUGCGAAGGCAGCAUACCGGCGGCGAACUGACGCUGAGGCACGAAAGCGUGGGUAUCGAACAGGAUUAGAUACCCUAGUAGUC